GAUGAACGCUGGCGGCGUGCCUAAUACAUGCAAGUCGAGCGAACGGACGAGAAGCUUGCUUCUCUGAUGUUAGCGGCGGACGGGUGAGUAACACGUGGAUAACCUACCUAUAAGACUGGGAUAACUUCGGGAAACCGGAGCUAAUACCGGAUAAUAUUUUGAACCGCAUGGUUCAAAAGUGAAAGACGGUCUUGCUGUCACUUAUAGAUGGAUCCGCGCUGCAUUAGCUAGUUGGUAAGGUAACGGCUUACCAAGGCAACGAUGCAUAGCCGACCUGAGAGGGUGAUUGGCCACACUGGAACUGAGACACGGUCCAGACUCCUACGGGAGGCAGCAGUAGGGAAUCUUCCACAAUGGGCGAAAGCCUGACGGAGCAACGCCGCGUGAGUGAUGAAGGUCUUCGGAUCGUAAAACUCUGUUAUUAGGGAAGAACAUAUGUGUAAGUAACUGUGCACAUCUUGACGGUACCUAAUCAGAAAGCCACGGCUAACUACGUG
rnacentral:rRNA from 1 species